UUUUACGGAGAGUUUGAUCCUGGCUCAGGAUGAACGCUGGCGGCGUGCUUAACACAUGCAAGUCGAACGAUGAAGCCCAGCUUGCUGGGUGGAUUAGUGGCGAACGGGUGAGUAACACGUGAGUA
rnacentral:rRNA from 1 species